GAUGAACGCUGGCGGCGUGCAUAACACAUUCAAGUCGAACGAGGUAGCAAUACCUAGUGGCGGACGGGUGAGUAACGCGUGAGCAACCUGCCCUUGUGUGGGGGAUACCGUCUGGAAACGGACGUUAAUACCGCAUAACAUGACGAGACCGCAUGAUCUUGUCAUCAAAGCUUUAAGUGCUGAAAGAUGGCCUCGCGUCUGAUUAGCUAGUUGGUGGGGGUUAAACGGGCCCACCAAGGCGACGAUCAGUAGCCGGUCUGAGAGGAUGAACGGCCACAUUGGGACUGAGAUACGGCCCAGACUCCUACGGGAGGCAGCAGUGGGGGAAUAUUGGGCAAUGGGGGAAACCCUGACCCAGCAACGCCGCGUGAAGGAAGAAGGCCUUCGGGUUGUAAACUUCUUUUAGCAGGGACGAAGGACGUGACGGUACCUGCAGAAAAAGCAACGGCUAACUACGUG
rnacentral:rRNA from 1 species